AUGACUACACCCAUGCCUACCAGUGGACAUCUUGAUUUAACCAAAGAUGGUGAACCGGUUGAUCUAAAGGUUUAUCGUUCCAUGAUUGGCUCAUUGUUAUAUCUAUGUGCCUCUCGUCCCGAUAUUAUGCUAAGUGUGUGCAUGUGUGCACGAUAUCAAGCGGCCCCUAAAGAAUGUCAUCUUAAGGCUGUGAAAAGGAUAGUGAUAUACUUAAUACACACACCAAAUUUUUGCAUUUGGUAUCCUAAGAGGUCUUCUUUCGAUCUUGUUGGUUACUCCGAUUCAGACUAUGUCGGAGACAAGGUUGAUAGAAAGUCCACUUCGGGUCCUUGUCAAUUUCUUGGUAGAUCUCUUGUGUCUUGGUCCUCCAAGAAACAAAACUCGGUAUCCUUAUCCACCGCCGAAGAGGAAUACAUUGCCGCAGGUUCAUGGUGUGCUCAAUUACUUUGGAUGACCCAAACUCUUAAAGAUUAUGGGAUAUAUGUGAAACAUGUUCCAUUGCUUUGUGACAAUGAAAGUGCUAUCAAGAUUGCUCACAAUCUCGUGCAACAUUCUCGAACUAAGCAUAUUGAAGUUCGUCAUCAUUUCAUUCGAGAUCACGUUGCCAAAGGGACAUUGAUCUUAAGCAUGUUCGCACCGAUAAGCAAUUGGCAGAUAUAUUGA
rnacentral:rRNA from 1 species